rnacentral:rRNA from 1 species
UACGUAGGGUGCGAGCGUUGUCCGGAAUUAUUGGGCGUAAAGAGUUCGUAGGCGGCUUGUCACGUCGGGUGUGAAAGCCCGGGGCUUAACCCCGGGUCUGCAUUCGAUACGGGCAGGCUAGAGUGUGGUAGGGGAGAUCGGAAUUCCUGGUGUAGCGGUGAAAUGCGCAGAUAUCAGGAGGAACACCGGUGGCGAAGGCGGAUCUCUGGGCCAUUACUGACGCUGAGGAGCGAAAGCAUGGGGAGCGAACAGG